rnacentral:lncRNA from 1 species
ACUCUUGACCCCGAUACCUAUAAUGUGUGGAACCCGUGAUCAGAGAAUCCUAAUUCUCGAUCACUGAGUCUCAAACAUGUAGGAUUCUACAUCAGCCAUCAGAUCAGAUAGGAAUCUCUAAUGUGUGUGACCCUGCAGGUUCGAACCUAAGUCGAUAGCACAGGAAUCAAUUCUUGUACUAAUCGAAGUGAUCAUCUAGCAAUGGUACCCAACGUCCGGA